AGUGGAAAAGCAUUUUCUAAAAACAAAGGAGGCAUCUUCGAUCCCAAACAUGAUGCAGAGGCGACUGGUGACGUAGAACCUGGUCAACUUUUGAACAGAGAUAUUCUUGCAAGUGGAGUGGCAUCAGGCUGACAGAAGCAGAAACUCCCAUCUCCGACUGUUAUUGCAUGGAGUGAGCAGCAUGUUCCCUCAGCRUGUGAUCUGCCCACCGCAUACCUGCAGUCCCACCUGCGCUUCCAGGGCAGUGCCCGCCAGGGUCCCAGGGAACACGCUCCCAUGAAGGCACUGACCAGCCCUGACGGCAUCGCAAGCCAGAGGCCAGUGAAGGCUGCAUUUAGAAAUGG